rnacentral:rRNA from 1 species
GUAGUCAUAUGCUUGUCUCAAAGAUUAAGCCAUGCAUGUCUAAGUUUAAGCGAUUAAACGGUGAAACUGCGAAUGGCUCAUUAAAUCAGUUAUCGUUUAUUUGAUAGUACCUUACUACAUGGAUACCUGUGGUAAUUCUAGAGCUAAUACAUGCUGAAAACCCCAACUUCGGAAGGGGUGUAUUUAUUAGAUAAAAAACCAAUGCCCUUCGGGGCUCCUUGGUGAUUCAUAAUAACUUAACGAAUCGCAUGGCCUUGCGCCGGCGAUGGUUCAUUCAAAUUUCUGCCCUAUCAACUUUCGAUGGUAGGAUAGUGGCCUACCAUGGUGGCAACGGGUAACGGGGAAU